rnacentral:rRNA from 1 species
UAACACGUGGAUAACCUGCCUCAAGGCUGGGGAUAACAUUUGGAAACAGAUGCUAAUACCGAAUAAAACUUAGUAUCGCAUGAUAUCAAGUUAAAAGGCGCUACGGCGUCACCUAGAGAUGGAUCCGCGGUGCAUUAGUUAGUUGGUGGGGUAAAGGCUUACCAAGACGAUGAUGCAUAGCCGAGUUGAGAGACUGAUCGGCCACAUUGGGACUGAGACACGGCCCAAACUCCUACGGGAGGCUGCAGUAGGGAAUCUUCCACAAUGGGCGCAAGCCUGAUGGAGCAACGCCGCGUGUGUGAUGAAGGCUUUCGGGUCGUAAAGCACUGUUGUAUGGGAAGAAAUGCUAAAAUAGGGAAUGAUUUUAGUUUGACGGUACCAUACCAGAAAGGGACGGCUAAAUACGUGCCAGCAGCCGCGGUAAUACGUAUGUCCCGAGCGUUAUCCGGAUUUAUUGGGCGUAAAGCGAGCGCAGACGGUUGAUUAAGUCUGAUGUGAAAGCCCGGAGCUCAACUCCGGAAUGGCAUUGGAAACUGGUUAACUUGAGUGUUGUAGAGGUAAGUGGAACUCCAUGUGUAGCGGUGGAAUGCGUAGAUAUAUGGAAGAACACCAGUGGCGAAGGCGGCUUACUGGACAACAACUGACGUUGAGGCUCGAAAGUGUGGGUAGCAAACAGGAUUAGAUACCCUGGUAGUCCACACCGUAAACGAUGAAUACUAGGUGUUAGGAGGUUUCCGCCUCUUAGUGCCGAAGCUAACGCAUUAAGUAUUCCGCCUGGGGAGUACGACCGCAAGGUUGAAACUCAAAGGAAUUGACGGGGACCCGCACAAGCGGUGGAGCAUGUGGUUUAAUUCGAAGCAACGCGAAGAACCUUACCAGGUCUUGACAUCCUUUGAAGCUUUUAGAGAUAGAAGUGUUCUCUUCGGAGACAAAGUGACAGGUGGUGCAUGGUCGUCGUCAGCUCGUGUCGUGAGAUGUUGGGUUAAGUCCCGCAACGAGCGCAACCCUUAUUGUUAGUUGCCAGCAUUCAGUUGGGCACUCUAGCGAGACUGCCGGUGACAAACCGGAGGAAGGCGGGGACGACGUCAGAUCAUCAUGCCCCUUAUGACCUGGGCUACACACGUGCUACAAUGGCGUAUACAACGAGUUGCCAACCUGCGAAGGUGAGCUAAUCUCUUAAAGUACGUCUCAGUUCGGACUGCAGUCUGCAACUCGACUGCACGAAGUCGGAAUCGCUAGUAAUCGCGGAUCAGCACGCCGCGGUGAAUACGUUCCCGGGUCUUGUACACACCGCCCGUCACACCAUGGGAGUUUGUAAUGCCCAAAGCCG